GUGUUCGGGUUGUCAUGCCAAUGGCACUGCCCGGUAGCUAAAUGCGGAAGAGAUAAGUGCUGAAAGCAUCUAAGCACGAAACUUGCCCCGAGAUGAGUUCUCCCUGAGACUAUAAGUCUCCUGAAGGAACGUUGAAGACGACGACGUUGAUAGGCCGGGUGUGUAAGCGCAGCGAUGCGUUGAGCUAACCGGUACUAAUGAACCGUGAGGCUUAACCUU
rnacentral:rRNA from 1 species